GACGAACGCUGGCGGCGUGCUUAACACAUGCCAGUCGAACGGAAAGGCCUGCUUUCCCUUGUGGAUUGCGGGUACUCGAGUGGCGAACGGGUGAGUAACACGUGAGUGAUCUGCCCCCAACUUGGGUAUAAGCCUGGGAAACUGGGUCUAAUUCCCGAUAGGACUGCAGGGUGGUGCCUGUGGUGGAAAACGAUUUUCUAGUGGUUGGGGAUGAGCUCGCGGCCUAUCAGCUUGUUGGUGGGGUAAUGGCCUACCAAGGCGGCGACGGGUAGCCGGCCUGGGAGGGGGGACGGCCACAUUGGGACUGAGAUACGGCCCAGACUCCUACGGGAGGCAGCAGUGGGGAAUAUUGCACAAUGGGCGGAAGCCUGAUGCAGCGACGCCGCGUGGGGGAUGACGGCCUUCGGGUUGUAAGCUCCUUUCGACCGCGAGGAAGCCACCUGGUUGGAAGGGUGGUGACGGUAGUGGUAGAAGAAGCACCGGCUAACUACGUG
rnacentral:rRNA from 1 species